rnacentral:rRNA from 1 species
GAUGAACGCUGGCGGCGUGCCUAAUACAUGCAAGUCGAGCGAACAGAUGAGGAGCUUGCUCCUCUGCCGUUAGCGGCGGACGGGUGAGUAACACGUGGAUAACCUACCUAUAAGACUGGGAUAACUUCGGGAAACCGGAGCUAAUACCGGAUAAUAUAUUGAACCGCAUGGUUCAAUAGUGAAAGACGGUUUUGCUGUCUCUUAUAGAUGGAUCCGCCGCAUUAGCUAGUUGGUAAGGUAACGGCUUACCAAGGCGACGAUGCGUAGCCGACCUGAGAGGGUGAUCGGCCACACUGGAACUGAGACACGGUCCAGACUCCUACGGGAGGCAGCAGUAGGGAAUCUUCCGCAAAGGGCGAAAGCCUGACGGAGCAACGCCGCGUGAGUGAUGAAGGUCUUCGGAUCGUAAAACUCUGUUAUUAGGGAAGAACAAAUGUGUAAGUAACUAUGCACGUCUUGACGGUACCUAAUCAGAAAGCCACGGCUAACUACGUG